GGCGACGCCGAGCGGAACCCGAAAGCCGUUCUCAGUUCGGAUCGGAGUCUGCAACCCGACUCCGUGAAGCUGGAUUCGCUAGUAAUCGCGCAUCAGCCAUGGCGCGGUGAAUACGUUCCCGGGCCUUGUACACACCGCCCGUCAAGCCAUGGGAGCCGGGGGUGCUUGAAGUGCGUCGCCGCGAGGCGCGCCCUAGAGCAAAACCGGUGACUGGAGCUAAGUCGUAACAAGGUACC
rnacentral:rRNA from 1 species